rnacentral:lncRNA from 1 species
GGCUGGGCUGGGUUGGGCUGACGCUGCCCUGACGAUGCCAGCACUGCCAUGGCAGCCUUGGGCUCCUGCCAGCUGCUGCACAAGGCCCUGGAAGAGAGCUGCAGUUAAGGCCACGCAGCAGCACCUCGGCUCUUGGGGGAGGUGUGAGCAAAGGUUGGCCAGCACUUGGAUCCAGGUGAUUAGAAGCCAUCUGUGGCACUUUGUGCUUGGGACAGCUGCUCAAAGGACCCUGUUCUGCAGAAGGAUGGCUGCAAAGAAAAAGGAGGUAGUGCUGCAGAUGAAAGCUGAACCUGUGUAGGACAUGAGCGGAUAUCCUGACGUGAUCUGCUUUUGUUAGAGAAAAGCCAAGUCCAAGCAGCCUCAGGACAUCCAAAUCAGCAAAGCACCUUGAAGAGUGCCAGCAGUAUUUGAGUCCAGCAU